rnacentral:lncRNA from 1 species
UCCUUUUUCCUUAUUUCUAUAAUAUGCAUAUGUUACUUUUAUAAUGGAAAUAAAGUAAUAAACUUUAUUGUCAUUCACUAAUACAGUAUAUCUAAAUGUCUUGUUUUCGGAGUAAGGGAUCGAAACUUGCUCUUUUAGGUACUACACCAAAUUAUUAACGUCCGGCUCUGACGUCACGGCCGGAGGGAGCGGGGGCGGGGGGCUGGGGCGCCCCGGCCUCCGCCCGCCCGCGCCGUCGCUGCGCAGGAGGGGCCGCCGCCUCCCUGUCCCCGCCUCGGCCGCGGCCGCGCCUUUUCCCCGGACCCAGCGCGUGGCCGAGUGCCUUGGAGACCCAGGCCUGGGGAAGAGGCAGGGGCGCAGAGGGAAAGAGGUCAGAGAGCCUGGACGAAGAGUGAAGGGCCAGGGACCAAGGCGAGGAGGCACGGACCAGGGCUUUCUUGUGGCUCCAAGUGGUGGCUCGAGCUGCUUUGAAUAAAUCACGUGGCUCUUUGAGCCUCAGUGUCCCUGAAAUGGGCCGUGAGGACGGGAAUGAUGGCCGCGGGGUGAGAUCGCCAGGAGUGACAGGUGCUGGGAGCCAGGGACAGGCUUCUCUUUCCUGAAGAAGCCACCCUUUGCACCCACCAUCCCAUCCCCUCUCCGACCUCUGCAGCCCGAUGCGGGGUGCCACUCGGAGGAGCCUUUGAGCCUUGGACAUCCUCAAGCUGGUGACAUGGAAACGUGGGGGGGGGGAAGGGGACACUUUUCAGUGUCGCCCUAUGGUGGGAGUUGGGGAGGUGAGGGUCCCAGGUCUCAGAAAGUGGGAGCAGUGGGUUUGGGCCUCUGGGGCCACCUGAGCAGGGGACCCUGAAGGCUAGGUGAGUACACCUGGCCUCAGAGAAAGGGCUAGGGGGCGGGCUGUGGGCGGAGCAGCAGGCCUAGGCCCUGUGUCCUGUACUCUCUCCCCACCAUGCUGUGCCUGGGCGUCUGGGUGAGAGGUGGUUCCUAGAGCCAGGGGCCUGCGUGUGGCUGGUGCAGAGCUGUCAUCCUCACUGCUAAGGGCUAAGAGCCUGCCUUUGAUUUCCAGGUCCCUUUUAUAAGCAAAGGAGAAACAAACAGAUGCCCUCUGACAUCGCUGGAGCUCUGCAGGCCCUCCGAGGGGACCGUGGGAGCAAGAGCUGUUUUCUUGGAAAGCCACCUAGAAUAAAUGUUACCCUGUCACAGUCUCUUAGCAGAAGAGUGGCCUUGUUUUAUUAAUGUUAGCUUGUUGACAGCAGGAGGCCACUGAGAACAGCAGUGUGAUGUGUGGCUGCCCCCAUUCUCUCCACCUCCCUACUCCCUUGCAGAGACCCCCUGUGCUUCCCAUUGCUACCCCAUGUGUGAGAAGAGAUGGCUGAAUAGGUAAGUAGGUCAGGAACAUGGGUCUCCAGGAUGUCGCAGGAUGUGCACAACUUAAACAUUAAACAGGGAGGACAGAAGGAAAACCACUUAGGAGGAGGAAGCAGAUGGCAGAGAGCCGUUUAAGAUGGCAGGAGGGUAUCACUCAGGGAGUGCCCCAGAGUUCUUGCUCUGGAGUUUCAGAACCCAAGGAUGCAGACUCUACCCCAGGGACCACAUGGGGACAGAGAGGCAUUAUGGUAAAGGGUGCCUGCCAGGAUGCCCAGGUCCCAGUCUGCUACUUCCUUGACUGGUGGCCUUGGGCUGGUUAUGUAUCCUCUUUGUGGCUUAGUUUCGCCAUCUCUGGAAUGGGGAUACUCACUGGACCUACUGCAGCGUGGUUGUGAGAAUUCCAGGGGAAUGCACAGGCAGCUGUUAGCACAGUGCCUGGCACAAAGUGAGAGCUCCGUAAGUGCCAGCCCCUCAUUCAUGCAGUGAAUAUGUGUUGAGCUCUUACUACGUGCCAGGCACUAUGGUUAAUGCUGGGGAGACAGUAAAGCCCAGACAAAUCCCUGCUGACAUUCUGACCUGAUAGCAGCAUCAUAGCGGUGAACACUGGAAGCCACACCAAACUCCAGCCCAGCCAGCUGGAUGUAGAUGGCUCCAGGGACAAUGCCAGCCCGGCGUUCCCGCCUCCAGAUCACUGUCACCACCCCUAGAGCACUAUGGCCUAUAACAGACUUUUUGUUGAAACCCCCUAAAAAAUGUUUAACAAUAUGUUUGCUUUACACAUUUUCAAGUUGGCAUCUAAAAUGAGUUUUUUAAUCAUAUAUAUAAAUAGGGUAUAUUGUAUUUAUUGACCUUUAUGUAUAAAAUUAUUAUCUCUCUCUUUUAAAUAUACCCAAAGGAAUUUGUAUAAGAACACAAAACUGCCAUGUUAUACUUAAGAAUAUAAACAAGUAUCCCUUU